AUUGAACGCUGGCGGCAGGCCUAACACAUGCAAGUCGAACGGUAACAGAAAGCAGCUUGCUGCUUUGCUGACGAGUGGCGGACGGGUGAGUAAUGUCUGGGAAACUGCCUGAUGGAGGGGGAUAACUACUGGAAACGGUAGCUAAUACCGCAUAACGUCGCAAGACCAAAGAGGGGGACCUUCGGGCCUCUUGCCAUCGGAUGUGCCCAGAUGGGAUUAGCUAGUAGGUGGGGUAGAGGCUCACCUAGGCGACGAUCCCUAGCUGGUCUGAGAGGAUGACCAGCCACACUGGAACUGAGACACGGUCCAGACUCCUACGGGAGGCAGCAGUGGGGAAUAUUGCACAAUGGGCGCAAGCCUGAUGCAGCCAUGCCGCGUGUAUGAAGAAGGCCUUCGGGUUGUAAAGUACUUUCAGCGGGGAGGAAGGGAGUAAAGUUAAUACCUUUGCUCAUUGACGUUACCCGCAGAAGAAGCACCGGCUAACUCCGUG
rnacentral:rRNA from 1 species